CUCAGCCAAUCACAAGCACGUUCUCAUUAGUGCUCAAUAAAAGUCUCCUCUAUAUUAACGCAUACGUAUGCGGUCUGGUUGCUUCUGUGCGUCGUUCGGCGAAACUUGGGGUUAGCAUAGCAUAGCAAGCAAGCUGGACUGCGUUUCGUUUAUUUCGUCGUUUCCAAGAAGAUCUGCUCUUGUCUUUUUGUGUUUUAACAAUCCGGACACCGUGGCCACCAACGGAGAAGCCUCCGAUGACCCCGCAGUGAGUACUGGUGGGUCUGCUUCAGGGAAGUCCCUUACUGGGUUUGUGUACGGGGGCUGUAUUGACUGGGGUGGACUGAUUAACUGACUGCCUCUGGUCACCUUUCGCAACAAAAUGAAACCAAAAAAAUGGGCAAUUAUGGUGGAUUGAAAGGGUGGCCAAUGUUCGCAGAACUGGCCAAGAUGAUGAGAAAACUGUCAACAAAAAUCGAUUAAUGGGGUGUAAAACGGAACCUGCAAACAUUUAGGGAAAACUUUAUCACGCAGUGAGUAGUUUGAAGGGAAAAUGUUUCUUGUGAGGUCUGUCACGUUUGGCAGAAUCCCACAGAGGCUCAUUGACACGGGUUUUCUUUAAAAAAAAAAUGCACACCAUGAACUGCAUUGCCCACCGUUUGACGGGAUUCACGUUUGGUACAACGCUCUGAUCUCGAGACAUGAUGCACAACUCCAAUGUACGCCUAAUGUUUCCCAUCUUGUGUCCAAUGUAUGUUGGCCCACCCUACUGGUGUCUGUGCAGUGCGGUUCUGCUUCGUCUGUGCAGUCUGGUUCUGCUUCGUCUGUGCAGUGUGGUUCUGUGCAGUGUGGUUCUGUUUCGUCUGGUUCUGUAUCGUGUGGUUCUGUGCAUUGUGGUUCUAUUGUCUAUGUGACGGGAUUCUGUGCAGUGGUUCUAUUCUGCUCAGUGUGGUUCUGUUGUCUGUGUAAUGGCGUUAUGUGCAGUGUGCUUGUAUUCUGUGGUUCCUUUUGUCCAGCGCUCCAUUUGCCAAUCCAAUGGAUAAUCUCCUUGAGUGAAACAUACAAAUUUCCUUGACGAAUUUUUGCGUGGAUAUAUUUUGAAUUUGUGUAUUUUACCAAGGUCAUCUGAAGAGAUUGGAGGAUUUUUUUUACAACUCAGAUGUACGCCUUAUGUUUCCCAUGUUGUGUCCGAUACAUGUUGGCCCACCCUACUGGUGUGCCUGUGCAGUGUGGUUCUGCUUCGUCUGUGCAAUGUGGUUCUGCUUCGUCGGUGCAGUGUAGUUCUGUGCAGUGUGGUUCUUUUCUGUAUAAUUGGUUUUGAUGCAGUGUGGAUCUAUUUUUUUCUGUGCAGUUGUGGUUCUAGUGUCUGUGUUACGGGAUUCUGUGCAGUGGUUCUAUUCUGUGCAGUGUGGUUCUAUUCUGUAUAAUUGGUUUCUAUGCAGUGUGGUUCUAUUGUCUGUGCGACGGGAAUCUGUGCAGUUCUAUUCUGUGCAGUGUGGUUCUAUUCUGUAUAAUUGGUUUCUAUGCAGUGUGGUUCUAUUGUCUGUGUGACGGGAUUCUGUGCAGUUCUAUUCUGUGCAGUGUGGUUCUAUUCUGUAUAAUUGGUUUCUAUGCAGUGUGGUUCUAUUGUCUGUGCAGUGGGAUUCUGUGCAGUUGGAUUCUGUGCAGUGUGGUUCUAUUCUGUCUAAUUGGUUUCUAUGCAGUGUGGUUCUAUUGUCUGUAAUUGGUUUCUAUGCAGUGUGGUUCUAUUGUCUGUGCGACGGGAUUCUGUGCAGUUCUAUUCUGUGCAGUGUGGUUCUAUUGUCUGUGUAAUGGCGUUAUGUGCAGUGUGAUGGGGUUCUGUGCAGUGUGGUUGUAGUCUGUGGUUCCUUUUUGUCCAGUGCUCCAUUUGCCAAUCCAAUGGAUAAUCUCCUUGAGUCAUGCACACAAAUUUCCUUGACGAAUUUCUGCAUUGAUAUAUUUUGAAUUUGUAUUUACCAAGGCCAUCUGAGGAGAUUGGACGAUUUUUACAAACACCGCCAGAGGCAAGUGAAGUUUACCACUUAAUUCAUUGAGACCCUGGAGCUUUGAUGGGAUGUUUUCACCAUGUCUUUUUUUGUGUUGUCAGGAUUCCCGAACAACCAUCUCGCUAGAUUCAAGUCAGGCUGGCCUUCCUAAUGUGUUCUGAUGACUACAAUGGACGGUCCUGAAGGACUGGAGCUGUGGGUGGAAGAGAGCCUGGAGGGCUCCAGAUGUGGAGGACCAGGAGGCGUCCAGAUGUUGAAGACAGGAAGAUCUGGUCUACAGAUGUGGAGGAUAACAUCCUUUUAAUUUCAUCCUUUUAAUUUCUUUCUUGGUCAAAUUGAGUUACUCAUGACUGCACUCUGUACUGAGGACUUGGUGUUAGAUCUUCUGUCUCUGUACUGGUGACUUGGUGUUUGAUAUUCUUGCACUGGUUGUGGCUUCAGGAGGGCUCUGUACUGGUGACUUGGUCUUUGAUCCUGACUGGUGUUUUAACUUUCAGACGUGACCGAUGAGGUGGGCGUUCAUCUGGUGACUGCUCCCAGGAAGAGGGCUAGCUCCUCCUACAGCAAGGGGGCGGUGGCUGGACCCGGACCAGGGGCGGUGGCUGGACCCGGACCAGGGGCGGUGGCUGGACCCGGACCAGGGGCGGUGGCUGGGGGGCGGUGGCUGGACCCGACCCGGACCAGGGGCGGUGGCUGGACCCGGUGGCUGGACCAGGGGCUGGGUGGCUGGACCUCGACCCUGACCAGGGGCGGUGGCUGGACCAGGACCUGGACCUGGAGCAGCACAGCAGCUUGUGGACAUGGACCCUGGGCUCAAAGUUUCUUCAUCUUUAAGAGGACGGACGACCUGGUGGCCCACAGCAGACAGGAGUAGAGGGACACCGCUGGCAACUAACCCUAGACCUAGACCACCUAAACUAGACUUAAACCAUCUAACCCCUCAACCUAAACUAGACUUAAACCAUCUAACCCCUCAACCUAAACUAGACUUAAACCAUCUAACCCCUCAACCUAAACUAGACUUAAACCAUCUAACCCCUCAACCUAAACUAGAC
ensembl:lncRNA